CCAGACUCCUACGGGAGGCAGCAGUGGGGAAUAUUGCACAAUGGGGGAAACCCUGAUGCAGCGACGCCGCGUGAAGGAUGAAGUAUUUCGGUAUGUAAACUUCUAUCAGCAGGGAAGAAAAUGACGGUACCUGACUAAGAAGCCCCGGCUAACUACGUGCCAGCAGCCGCGGUAAUACGUAGGGGGCAAGCGUUAUCCGGAUUUACUGGGUGUAAAGGGAGCGUAGACGGCAUGGCAAGUCUGAUGUGAAAACCCGGGGCUCAACCCCGGGACUGCAUUGGAAACUGUCAGGCUGGAGUGUCGGAGAGGCAAGUGGAAUUCCUAGUGUAGCGGUGAAAUGCGUAGAUAUUAGGAGGAACACCAGUGGCGAAGGCGGCUUGCUGGACGAUGACUGACGUUGAGGCUCGAAAGCGUGGGGAGCAAACAGGAUUAGAUACCCGUGUAA
rnacentral:rRNA from 1 species